GUAGUCUCGCACAGAUGCAUAUCAAUAAGCGGAGGAAAAGAAACUAACAAGGAUUCCCCUAGUAACGGCGAGUGAAGCGGGAAGAGCUCAAAUUUGAAAUCUUAAAGGGUUUCCCUUUACGAAUUGUAGUUUAAAGAAGUGUUUUCUGUUGAGGUUUUGGUAAAAGUUCUUUGGAAUAAGACAUCAUAGAGGGUGAGAAUCCCGUAUUUGACCUUUACUUUCAACUUUGUGAUACACUUUCAAAGAGUCGGAUUGUUUGGGAAUGCAGUCCAAAAUGGGUGGUAAAUUUCAUCUAAAGCUAAAUAUUGGCGAGAGACCGAUAGCGAACAAGUACCGUGAGGGAAAGGUGAAAAGAACUCUGAAAAGAGAGUUAAACAGUACGUGAAAUUGUCAAAAGGGAAGCGUUUGACACCAGUGUUGUUUUUCUGAAAAUCAAUUAAAGAACUGUUUAUGCUAAGCUGUUUAGACUUUAUCAGCUAUCUGUUUAGUUUUGAGCUUUUCUUUAAUGCACUUUUCAGUUAACAAGUCAACAUCAAUUUCUUUUGCUGUAAAAAAGCUUGAGGAAGGUGGCUUGAGAUUCGUCUUAAGUGUUUAUAGCCUCUUGCCUAUGCAGUCGGAGAGAUUGAGGUCUGCAGCGUAGAUCCUUCGGGGCUAAAUGCAUUUGUGCUAAGUUAUAGCAUUUUAUAGACAACUUGUUGACUAUGAUUUGUCUUGUAGCUUACUCGCUUAUGUUAUUUUACCUACGCUUAGGAUGUUGAGCGCAUGUCUCUCUCU
rnacentral:rRNA from 1 species